CCUACGGGAGGCAGCAGUCUAGAAAUUUGCACAAUCGCCGAAAGGCGGAUGCAGCGACACCACGUGGAGGAUGACACCCCUCGGGGUGUAAACUCCUGUCAGAAGGGAAGAAGGCACGGGCGUUAAUACCGCUCAUUGCUUGACGGUACCUUCAGAGGAAGCUCCGGCUAACUACGUGCCAGCAGCCGCGGUAAUACGUAGGGAGCGAGCGUUGUUCGGAUUUACUGGGCGUAAAGGGCACGUAGGCGGGUAUGCAAGUCGAUUGUGAAAUCCUCUGGCUCAACCAGAGAACUGCAGCCGAAACUGCACACCUUGAGUCCAGCAGAGGGAAUCGGAAUCCCAGGUGUAGCGGUGAAAUGCGUAGAUAUCUGGGAGAACAUCAGUGGCGAAGGCGGAUUCCUGGGCUGGUACUGACGCUGAGGUGCGAAAGCUAAGGGAGCGAACAGGAUUAGAUACCCUGGUAGUCUUAGCCGUAAACGAUGGGUACUAGGUGUUGGGGGACAUUGACCCCCUCAGUGCCGUAGCUAACGCAUUAAGUACCCCGCCUGGGGAGUACGGCCGCAAGGCUGAAACUCAAAGGAAUUGACGG
rnacentral:rRNA from 1 species